rnacentral:ncRNA from 1 species
ACGUGGCUGUUACGGGUUAGCAGCCUCCGGCGGAAACGCCGGAGUGGAAAAGCGGGUAAAUUCAGGGAAAGCCCAAGCGGUCAACCCUGAGCCAAGUCCGCCGAAGCCUAUCUUCACCGAAUAACAUCAUGGCAACGGUGGAAAGGUGCAGAGACUAGACACUCGCUGCCUACGUUCUUUCGUCAUUGCGAGGAGGCCUAAGACCGACGAAGCAAUCUCAAAGAAUAUGGCAAAGGUAUAGUCCGACUCUCCGAGUAAUCGGAGU